UCCCUUUUAGUUUUGCGAUUAGGCUGCCAGGCUUUGUAAAGGGCUUAAAAACAAAGUCAUGCUCAGUCUUUUGUAGGAGAGAUCCAGAUGUUAUGUAGAUUUCUGUUUGCGUGUUCGUUUUGAGCGGAUCCGGCCGUGAGCGCAGUAUUUACGUGUGUGUGUUGCUGGACUUUACCGUUUAUCGACGUUGCGCUUGUGGAAUGUAUGCUGGAGUAUUAGCUCGGUAAUGCCUUCUAAUGGUAGUGCUAAUUACAGUGGGGUUAUUUAGCAAAUUAAGUGAGAUGAUGCACCCCCCCCCACCCUUGAGUACCGAAUGAACUUUUCCGAACGCACAGGCACACACACAGACACACGCGCGUUAAUUUUGGUGCGUUUCUCUCGCCCAAUCACUUCGCUGAAGCUACACCAUGCCUUACCUCAGAGCAGUCAAUUACCAAAGCUACCCGGGAUCAUCAAUCAUGGGGGAUGCUUGAAGUUUAGGGGAGGAGCGAUGGUCAAACUAUCGAUUGCUGCAGUUUUGUCCUCCCCAACCCCCCACCCUCGUUCACGGUCCCCUGCACAUAAAAUCUAAAACAGACUAUCCCGUUAAUAGUGGAAUUUAUCAAUGAUUAUGUACCCGUUUGUGAAUGUGGCCUCAUACAUAGAUGGCUUUUGAAAAGACACGGCAGAAAAUAUAUUAUUCCGUUAGAUUUUGGUUUGCUUUGCUUUUCGUGGUGAUGACGAUGCUUUUCAGAGGUAUUUUUUUUUUUUAACUUUAAGAAAAUGAUUCAAGGGGUAGUUAUAGAUAUUUGGCCUGAUUUUAACAGGCGAAGGGAAUGAGCUCCAGAGGUCAAUAAACCCCUCCAAAAUGAUGAAUGAUUGAGUACCUGUGAUGAUGAUAGUGAUUACCGGAGCAAUUAAACAGUUUGAUUAAAUGAGCCAUCAUAACAAUGAUGUCUGCGGGAAAUCAGCCCUCACGUAUAAAGAAAGAUAGUGUGGAGAGCUGACAAACGCCAGUGGGCAUUCCUGCAUGUUCCGCUAGCGCCGAGCCCUGCAGAGCAGGGCUGUAUUUACAAAUAUGAGGGGAAUACAGAGAAAAGUCCCUCUCCUACUUAUAGCCAGAGUUGCAACCUGCUUAGAACCCGCCAGGAGCCGGAGAGCAGACACGGGUUUUCUUUUUCCUAGAGGAUCUCCUCCAAGAUUAAAGCUAGUCCUAAGAGCAACCGAAUUGCUGUGACUGACUUUCACGGGACUGUAAAGAGAGCCUUGCAAAAGUGGAUGGCACAACAGAUUAAACCCUCCAGGAGAAUUGGGAAAUUGUACAGGGUUACAGCGACGAGCCGAAGGACACCUGUGAAUGCCACAACCUUCCCAAAGAGAGCAACAACCCCUCGAACCACGCACACACGCGCAGGGGUUUGAAUCCUGCUAGAAAGAAGGAGACAAAAGGAGCAAUAAAUACGUGUGUGAUCCUUUCCUAGCGGUUCGGAGCCCAAAGGAAAAAAGCAAACUGUAAGCAGUGUUGGGCAUUUGAUGCCCUCCACCCCUAUUUUAUCACGGUCUGAUCGAUGUGAUUAUUCCCUUUAACUGCAAGCAGUGAUUUUUUAUUAGCAUGAUCUCAGGCAACUCUCUAAUUUUCUCCAAGAGCCCAGCUGAGGGAUAGACAAACUCAGGAAUAAAUAAAUAAGUUCAUUUGCACAAUAAACUCUCUUCGAUAGAGCAGUAAAAUUAGGCAAGUAACUUUAUUUCCCACCCCCUUCCGAGGAUGAGGGUGCUUAAAGGUGUUGGUGAGAUGGACCUGAGGGGUAUGUGGGUUGGUUUCUUUCCCCUUCGCCCUUCCUGUAAACCAACCCCCCCACCCUUCCCCCCGGGAUAUCUGUGUUUAAAUAGAUGCUGAAGAGAUUUCUGAGUUCACGGGAAAGAAGGAAGGUUAGUUAAGGGAAUGGCAGUGCGCCUGGCAGGUAUUUUAAUGACUGUCCCUUCCUUUGAACACUUUCAAUUUCUCUGCUUCUUGUACAGAAUAUGUUUCCCAAACCAAGUAUGAUUUCUGUUGUAACUCUCGUGUGUGAUUGUGAUCCCUUCUGAGGUAAAUUGAGAAGUACGCUGCGCAAAAGGAGGAAAUCGCCCCUGGGGUGCUUUGUUUACUUUGGUUUGUAAAAUCCUGCUAGGAGAUGGUUUCCUCAGUGUGUGGCAAGUGUUUCUUCAAGAAAUUCAUCAGCCCUUCUACAAUUACUUCGAGCUCCGAGGGAAGAAAGCUGCCAUCACUUUCUCACAUCCCAAGGUGUUGCAUGGGGGAGAGAAGAAAAGGCUGGAGCAUUUAAUUAUAAUGGGGAGGGGGGGGGGGA